GCUCGCUCUGCCCCGUGGGGGAGGGGGAAAGCAGACCGCUUGGCCCCCGCGCGGGAAAUCCGCCCCGGAAGGCGCGUACUGCAGGGGGCGCCUAGGGUCCGCGGAGGGGGCGCCGCCAUCUUUGUUGGGGGCAACGCGCGAUGCCCAAAUCGUGCGCGGCGCUUCGGUGCAGUAACCGCUAUAGCAGCCGCUGCCGGCAGCAGCUCACCUUCCACAGGUUCCCGUUCAGCCGGCCCGAGCUGCUGGCGCGCUGGGUGGGGAACAUUGGCCGUGGCGAUUUCCAGCCCAGCUCGCACACGGUGCUCUGCUCGCAGCACUUCCAGCCCGACUGCUUCAGCGCCUUCGGCAACCGCACCAACCUCAAGCCCAACGCCGUGCCCACGCUCUUCGCCUUCCCCCGCACCGCCAGGGACUUUACAAGGACAGAGGAUGGAAGGAGAUUAGAUGAAGAAACUGUUCUGCACCAAGAGCCCCAACCCAGUAGAACAGAGGAACCAAGAGAAGAGGUUAGCACAACUAAGGCACCAGAAGUGGAGGGCCGGCUGCUGCAAUCCAGGCCCCCAGUGCAGAGACACCACCCAGUUCAGACCUCAGAUCACAACUAUGCUGUCAGUGACUGUGCUUCCUUAAAACAAAAACUUUUCCAGGCGCUAGAGGAAAAUGAAAAACUGCAAAAACGCCUGAAGGUUAAAAGCAUGGCACUGAGGAGGAUGUUUGUGCGGCUCCAGGCCUGCAAAAAGGAGCAGCAAAAACACCAGGCCAGACAGCCUGGUGGGAGGGAACAGGGCCUGACUUUCUGAAAACUCAUCUAUACCAGCAAGAACUGUGGUUUGACAGGCUGCCGGCUAGAGUACUUUAUAGACUGAGUGAGAGACUCUCACAAACAACAAGGGAAACUGACUGUGUAGGGAAAUCAGCAGAAGUGACUAUGAAGUGCAGCCAAGCCCUCCAACAUCUAUAGGGAUCCCACUGCCCCUUCCUCUCCUCAAACCCUUCAGAACAAGUAAGUCAUGCUGCACUUUUUACCCAUCCUGGCUUCCUCUGCCUCAAUUAUCCUCCGGACGGACUCUUGCAUUAACCGAACCUGCCACAACACAAAGGACAAAACAAAAUGCAGCAGUCAGAUUCCAUUUAAAACAGCUAUGAACCCCAAGUGGGAAUAGUUUCCUUCAGCUGAGAAGGCUCAUGAGGGAUGAGUGAAUUAGGAAGACACCUGCAGACCAGGGCCUGGGCAUUGUCUCAGGGCUCACCUGCGCAUAAAUAUGAAAAUGAAGAUCAGAACAAAAACACAGGGAAGGGGGAAAUGCCUCAAACUGCCCUGGGGUUGCGGUGACAGAGCAUGGGAAUGUUAGGGACCACAGGACGGCUCCAUGUCAUGUCUGGAGAUCAUCCAAUCCAGGGGUAGAGUGUCUCAGAGAAAUUAAAGAGUGCCAGCAAUUGUGGCUUGCGGGAGGCUCUGUAUUCUGUUGCCCUUGCCAAUGACAGCAGCACACUCAGCUACUGGGGUGAAGGGAAAGACUCAGUCUUACUUCCUGGGCUGGGGGGCAGUGACAGGUUCUUCCCUCCCUCCCCUCCAGGGCAGGAGAUGGGAGCAGGGAGGAGCAAAGAUAACAUCCUGUGGCUCACCGGGGGGGGGCACAGAGCUGCCAUGAGACGCUUGGCUCUUUCUGCCCCCUUCCCUACUGUGAGAAUGGUCCUGAGGGGAGGUGGAAAAGCUCAGCCUGCUGCUACAGCGGUCAUGAUUGGCUACUCUUCCCCAGGAGGCGGGCAAAUGUGGAAGGCAGCCAGUCAGGAAGGGGAUUUUUCCCCCCAGGCAGGGCUAAAAUCCCCAAGAGGACUGGAGCUCCUCAUAUCAUCACUAGACUGGCUCCAGCCCUGGCAAAAAUCACACCACUCGAAAUCGCAAGGAUUGGCAACACUGCGGGUGGUAUAAGUUCUGCAAAUGAAACUGGGGACACAGCUGGAGAACAAAGUGGUUGACAUAUGCUGUAUGGAACAAUAUAACCAAGGAUGAAACUAACAGGCAAGACUGGGGAUGGAGGAACGGACCACUUACUGCAGCUUCCGCCUCCUGCUUCUUCUGUUGGACAUCACUGGCUGUACUUUCCCUUUGUUUCUCCAACUCUCUGACAUGAGGAAGUUGAACAACACAUUAGUUAUAGGCAUUAAAUACGAUUCAGUGCAAGGAUGCACUUCCCAUGUCAGUGCCUUAAUGAUCCUACAGACCUCACUCACUCAGGCUGGUUUCAAGGCCUCCGUUGGCGAUUCUUUACAGUGAUCAUCCUUCAGGCUCCCCAUUUUAACUCCCAAUAAAACAACUGUACCGCAGAUAAAUGCCCCUAAACCUGCCACCCUACUUCCAAAAGCAAUUGAAUAGGAGAGCCCAGCUCUGUAUUUAAAACACAUGACCUCAGACUCACUUCUCCU